rnacentral:rRNA from 1 species
UACGUAGGGUGCGAGCGUUGUCCGGAAUUAUUGGGCGUAAAGAGCUCGUAGGCGGUCUGUCGCGUCGGUCGUGAAAACUUGGGGCUUAACCCUGAGCUUGCGGUCGAUACGGGCAUGACUGGAGUUCGGUAGGGGAGACUGGAAUUCCUGGUGUAGCGGUGAAAUGCGUAGAUAUCGGGAGGAACACCAGUGGCGAAGGCGACUACCUGGCCUGUUCUUGACGCUGAGGCGCGAAAGCUAGGGGAGCAAACGGGGAUUAAGAA